GGCGAACGGGUGAGUAACACGUGGGCAAUCUGCCCCUCGUAGGGGGAUAACCGGGGGAAACCCCGGCUAAUACCCCGUACGCUUGCGGAGUCGCAUGGCUCCGUAAGGAAAGGUAGCUUCGGCCAUCCGGCGAGGGAUGAGCCCGCGGUACAUUAGCUAGUUGGUGGGGUAACGGCCUACCAAGGCGACGAUCCGUAACUGGUCUGAGAGG
rnacentral:rRNA from 1 species